AGCUAGCCAGGCAGCGCUGAUGAGCCUCAGGCCCCGCCCCGGCCGGAACCUGACCCCGCCCACCGGACUCUGACUGAGCACAGGAACCCCUGACACGACGUUUUGCCGGAGGCUGGUACCCGGCAAGUGGCGCCCGAACAGGGACUUGAAAGAAUUCGGACAGCCCAAUUUGAAUUCCUGACAGACUGAUCCGACAUCAUGUCUCAAAAGCCUUCACCGACACGCCCCCCAUCA